rnacentral:rRNA from 1 species
GUGGGGAAUUUUGGACAAUGGGGGCAACCCUGAUCCAGCCAUUCCGCGUGAGUGAAGAAGGCCUUCGGGUUGUAAAGCUCUUUUGUCCGGAGCGAAAAGGCGCGGGUGAACAGCCCGCGCUACUGACGGUACCGGAAGAAUAAGCACCGGCUAACUACGUGCCAGCAGCCGCGGUAAUACGUAGGGUGCGAGCGUUAAUCGGAAUUACUGGGCGUAAAGCGUGCGCAGGCGGUUUUGUAAGCCAGAUGUGAAAGCCCCGGGCUUAACCUGGGAAUGGCAUUUGGGACUGCAAGGCUCGAGUGCGGCAGAGGAGACUGGAAUUCCUGGUGUAGCAGUGAAAUGCGUAGAUAUCAGGAGGAAUACCGAUGGCGAAGGCAGGUCUCUGGGCUGACACUGACGCUCAUGCACGAAAGCGUGGGGAGCAAACAGGAUUAGAAACCCUAGUAGUCC